GACGAACGCUGGCGGCGUGCUUAACACAUGCAAGUCGAACGGAAAGGCCCUGCUUUUGUGGGGUGCUCGAGUGGCGAACGGGUGAGUAACACGUGAGUAACCUGCCCUUGACUUUGGGAUAACUUCAGGAAACUGGGGCUAAUACCGGAUAGGAGCUCCUGCUGCAUGGUGGGGGUUGGAAAGUUUCGGCGGUUGGGGAUGGACUCGCGGCUUAUCAGCUUGUUGGUGGGGUAGUGGCUUACCAAGGCUUUGACGGGUAGCCGGCCUGAGAGGGUGACCGGCGACAAUGGGACUGAGAUACGCACCAGACUCCUACGGGAGGCAGCAGUGGGGAAUAUUGCACAAUGGGCGGAAGCCUGAUGCAGCAACGCCGCGUGCGGGAUGACGGCCUUCGGGUUGUAAACCGCUUUCGCCUGUGACGAAGCGUGAGUGACGGUAAUGGGUAAAGAAGCACCGGCUAACUACGUG
rnacentral:rRNA from 1 species